GACGGAGGGUGCAAGCGUUAUUCGGAAUUACUGGGCGUAAAGCGCACGCAGGUGGCUGAGUCAGUCGAUUGUGAAAGCCCUGGGCUUAACCUGGGAAUUGCAGUCGAUACUACUCAGCUAGAGUAUGGGAGAGGGUAGUGGAAUUCCCGGUGUAGCGGUGAAAUGCGUAGAUAUCGGGAGGAACAUCAGUGGCGAAGGCGGCUACCUGGCCCAAUACUGACACUCAGGUGCGACAGCGUGGGGAGCAAACAGG
rnacentral:rRNA from 1 species